GAUGAACGCUGGCGGCGUGCUUAACACAUGCAAGUCGAGCGGGCAAUUUAUCUAGCACUGAUUACUUCAAAUGGAAAUCAUAAGUGUAAUCAUGAAUUUCUACCUUUAAUAAAGAAAAAAGAAAUUCAUGUACGCAAAUAGUGAUAACACAUUUUAGUGAAGUGAUGAGUGCUGGAUAAAUUGCUAGCGGCGGACGGGUGCGUAACACGUGGGUAACCUGCCCCUAUCACUGGGAUAACACACUGAAAAGUGUGCUAAUACCAGAUAAUAUAAGCUUUUGGCAUCAUUAGCUUAUCAAAGAAUUUCGGAUAGGGAUGGGCCCGCGUCUGAUUAGCUAGUUGGUGAGGUAACGGCUCACCAAGGCAACGAUCAGUAGCCGACCUGAGAGGGUGAUCGGCCACACUGGAACUGAGACACGGUCCAGACUCCUACGGGAGGCAGCAGUGGGGAAU
rnacentral:rRNA from 1 species